rnacentral:tRNA from 1 species
GGGAGGUUAGCGAAGUGGUUAAACGCGGCGGACUGUAAAUCCGUUCUUAGGUUCGGAGGUUCGAAUCCUCCACCUCCCA